rnacentral:rRNA from 1 species
UUCCGGUUGAUCCNGCCGGACCUGACUGCUAUCGGAUUGAUACUAAGCCAUGCGAGUCAUUGUAGCAAUACAAGGCAGACGGCUCAGUAACGCGUAGUCAACCUACCCUAUGGACGGGAAUAACCUCGGGAAACUGAGAAUAAUGCCCGAUAGAACACUAUGCCUGGAAUGGUUUGUGUUCCAAAUGAUUUAUUGCCAUAGGAUGGGACUGCGGCCUAUCAGUUUGUUGGAGAGGUAAUGGCCCACCAAGACUAUUACAGGUACGGGCUCUGAGAGGAGUGGCCCGGAGAUGGGUACUGAGACACGGACCCAGGCCCUAUGGGGCGCAGCAGGCGAGAAAACUUUGCAAUGUGCGAAAGCACGACAAGGUUAAUCCGAGUGGUUUCUGCUAAAGGAACCUUUUGACGGUCCUAAAAACACUGUUGAAUAAGGGGUGGGCAAGUUCUGGUGUCAGCCGCCGCGGUAAAACCAGCACCUCAAGUGGUCAGGAUGAUUAUUGGGCCUAAAGCAUCCGUAGCCGGCUCUGUAAGUUUUCGGUUAAAUCUGUACGCUCAACGUACAGGCUGCUGGGAAUACUGCAGAGCUAGGGAGUGGGAGAGGUAGACGGUACUCGGGAGGAAGUGGUAAAAUGCUUUGAUCUCUCGAUGACCACCUGUGGCGAAGGCGGUCUACCAGAACACGUCCGACGGUGAGGGAUGAAAGCUGGGGGAGCAAACCGGAUUAGAUACCCGGGUAGUCCCAGCUGUAAACUAUGCAAACUCAGUGAUGCGUUGGCUUAUGGCCAGCGCAGUGUUGCAGGGAAGCCGUUAAGUUUGCCGCCUGGGAAGUACGUACGCAAGUAUGAAACUUAAAGGAAUUGGCGGGGGAGCACCACAAGGGGUGAAGCCUGCGGUUCAAUUGGAUUCAACGCCGG